rnacentral:rRNA from 1 species
GAACGGUAACAUUUCUAGCUUGCUAGAAGAUGACGAGUGGCGGACGGGUGAGUAAUGCUUGGGAACUUGCCUUUGCGAGGGGGAUAACAGUUGGAAACGACUGCUAAUACCGCAUAAUGUCUUCGGACCAAACGGGGCUUCGGCUCCGGCGCAAAGAGAGGCCCAAGUGAGAUUAGCUAGUUGGUAAGGUAACGGCUUACCAAGGCGACGAUCUCUAGCUGUUCUGAGAGGAAGAUCAGCCACACUGGGACUGAGACACGGCCCAGACUCCUACGGGAGGCAGCAGUGGGGAAUAUUGCACAAUGGGGGAAACCCUGAUGCAGCCAUGCCGCGUGCGUGAAGAAGGCCUUCGGGUUGUAAAGCACUUUCAGUUGUGAGGAAAAGUUAGUAGUUAAUACCUGCUAGCCGUGACGUUAACAACAGAAGAAGCACCGGCUAACUCCGUGCCAGCAGCCGCGGUAAUACGGAGGGUGCGAGCGUUAAUCGGAAUUACUGGGCGUAAAGCGCACGCAGGCGGUUUGUUAAGCUAGAUGUGAAAGCCCCGGGCUCAACCUGGGAUGGUCAUUUAGAACUGGCAGACUAGAGUCUUGGAGAGGGGAGUGGAAUUCCAGGUGUAGCGGUGAAAUGCGUAGAUAUCUGGAGGAACAUCAGUGGCGAAGGCGACUCCCUGGCCAAAGACUGACGCUCAUGUGCGAAAGUGUGGGUAGCGAACAGGAUUAGAUACCCUGGUAGUCCACACCGUAAACGCUGUCUACUAGCUGUGUGUGUCUUUAAGAUGUGCGUAGCGAAGCUAACGCGCUAAGUAGACCGCCUGGGGAGUACGGCCGCAAGGUUAAAACUCAAAUGAUUGACGGGGGCCCGCACAAGCGUGCAGCAUGUGUUUAAUUCGAUGCAACGCGAGACCUUACCUACACUUGACAUGCUGAGAAGUUACUAGAGAUAGUUUCGUGCCUUCGGGACU